GAAGGUGCAGCCCUGCGUCCUGUGAGAAGAUGUCUUAUGGAUCCAUCGCUGGCAGUGGCGGCCUGGGGAGCCGGGGCCCUUUCGGGGGGCCCUCCCAACAAGGCUAUCAGCCUCUAGAGUGCACAAAGUGUUGGACCAAGUACGGAAUCCGCCAUUUCCCCUGCCCAUCGCCAGAGAGCAGCCUGCAGGACCCCUGUGUGGGUGAGGAUGGGGACGGUGACCCGGGGCCAGCUGGCACCCCCAGAGGCCCGAGGGCCAGGAAGCGAGGGCCAGGGGUCACGCCCGAUGGCAGUGGGACACCAGAGCCCACCUUGCUGCCUGCUGGCCCACAGAAGGAGCCGGCUGCAAGGGCCCGUGGCCACGUGGCCAGCACCACCCGGGCCAAGAAGAGGAAGCCCAACUUCUGCCCGCAGGAGACGGAGGUGCUGGUAGCCAGGGUCAGCAAGCACCAUCAGCUUCUGUUUGGCACCGGCCUGCCGCGGGCCGAGCCUGCCCGCAGGUACCGCGUGUGGAGCCGCAUCCUGCAGGCAGUGAACGCGCUGGGCUACUGCCGCCGCGACCUUGUGGACCUCAAGCACAAGUGGCGGGACCUGCGGGCCGUAGUGAGGCGCAAGCUGGGCGAGCUGCCGGGGGCGCCUCAGGCCCUGCCCCUCACGCCCCUGGAGCAGGCCGUGGCCAAGACCUUCUCCUUCCAGGCCCCGCCCUCCGAGGGCCUCGGCCCCGAGCCGCGCAGAGCCACCCAGAUGGACCCAAGUGACCUCCAGGAGCUGUUCCAAGAGACGUCAGCCAACAUCUUCCGAAUCAACUCCAAUGUGACCUCCUUGGAGCAGAGCCUCCGGUCCCUGGGGACGCCGGGUGACACGCAGGAGCUGCGGGACAGCCUGCACACAGUGCAGCAGGAGACCAACCGCACGAUCGCGGCCAGCGCCAGCGCCCUGAAGCAGACGGCCGAGCUCCUGCGGGGCUGCCCCCGGCUCCAUUGUCUGCAGCAGGAGCAUCUUCAGCUAGAUCGCCUGAAAACUCAGCUGUCAGACGCCGUCCGACGCUAUGGAGUGGUGCAGAAGAAAAUUGCAGAGAAGUCCAGAGCACUGCUUCCCACGGCACAGAGGGGUGGCAAGCAGCAGCAGAGCCCCCAGGCCACCUUUGCUGAGCUGGCUGAUGAUGAGAAGAUUUUCAACGGGGGUGAUGGUGUGUGGUCGGGUCACGAGCAGGCGCUGCUUCCCGAGAUCACCGAGGAGGACCUGGAGGCCAUCCGGCUGCGAGAGGAGGCCAUCCUGCAGAUUGAGAGUGACCUGUUAGAUGUGAACCAGAUCAUCAAGGACUUGGCCUCCAUGGUUUCAGAGCAAGGAGAGGCCAUCGAUAGUAUUGAAGCUGGCCUUGAGGCUGCGUCCUCGCACACAGAGGCGGCCAGUGAGCUCCUCGCUGGAGCCAGCCGGCACCAACUCCGAAGACGCAAAGUCAAGUGCUUCCUCCUGGCGGCUGGCGUCACCGUCCUGCUGGUCAUCGUCCUCAUCGUCGCCACCUCUGUUCGAAAGUGAUGCCGCCCCGG
rnacentral:lncRNA from 1 species